rnacentral:rRNA from 1 species
UCAAGAAACUUCCACAAUGGGCGAAAGCCUGAUGGAGCGACGUCGCGUGAUGGACGAAGUGCUUCGGCACGUAAACAUCUUUUAUGUGGGACGAAAUUAUUGACAGUACCACAUGAAUAAGGGGCUCCUAACUCUGUGCCAGCAGGAGCGGUAAUACAGAGGCCCCAAGCGUUAUCCGGAAUCACUGGGCGUAAAGGGUGUCGAGGCGGUUGUAUUAGUCGUUCGUAAAAUCUACGAGCUUAACUUGUAGGCGGCGAACGAAACGGUACGACUUGAGGUUUGGAGAGGUGCGUGGAACUCACGGUGUAGGGGUGAAAUCCGUUGAUAUCGUGGGGAACACCAAAGGCGAAGGCAGCGCACUGGCCAAAAUCUGACGCUCACACACGAAAGCUAGGGUAGCGAAGAGGAUUAGAUACCCCUGUAGUCCCUGAGCGGGCUGGCAAGGCGCAU